rnacentral:rRNA from 1 species
CCUACGUGUGGCAGCAGUGGGGAAUAUUGCGCAAUGGGCGAAAGCCUGACGCAGCGACGCCGCGUGAGGGAUGAAGGUCUUCGGAUCGUAAACCUCUGUCAGCAGGGAAGAACGGUCACUGUGCUAAUCAGCAGUGACUUGACGGUACCUGCACAGGAACCACCGGCUAACUCCGUGCCAGCAGCCGCGGUAAUACGGAGGGUGCGAGCGUUAAUCUGAAUUACUGGGCGUAAAGCGCUUGUAGGCGGUAUGUCAAGUCAAGGGGGAAAUCCUCGCGCUCAACGUGAGAACUGCCGUUGAAACUGGCAAAUGAGAGUAUGGGAGAGGAAAGUGGAA